AUUGAACGCUGGCGGCAGGCCUAACAUAUGCAAGUCGAGCGGAGCGGCGGACGGGUGAGUAAUGCCUAGGAAUAUGUAUGGUAGUGGGGGAUAACGUCCGGAUACGGGCGAUAAUACCGCAUACUAUCAGAUGAGCCUAGGUCGGAUUAUAUAGUUGGUGGGGUAACGGCUUACCAAGGCGACGAUCCGUAACUGGUCUGAGAGGAUGAACUGUCACACUCGAAGUGCGACACGGUCCAGGCUCCUACGGGAGGCAGCAGUGGGGAAUAUUUGACAAUGGACGAAAGCCUGAUCCAGCCAUGCCACGUGUGUGAAGAAGGUCUUCGGAUUGUAAAGCACUUGAAGUUGGGAGGCGUUACCAACAGAAUAAGCACCGGCUAACUUCGUGCCAGCAGCCGCGGUAAUAC
rnacentral:rRNA from 1 species